rnacentral:rRNA from 1 species
GAGGAUGCCUGCUAUAAUGCAGUCGAGCGAACAGAAGGGAGCUUGCUCCCGGAUGUUAGCGGCGGACGGGUGAGUAACACGUGGGUAACCUGCCUGUAAGACUGGGAUAACUCCGGGAAACCGGAGCUAAUACCGGAUAGUUCCUUGAACCGCAUGGUUCAAGGAUGAAAGACGGUUUCGGCUGUCACUUACAGAUGGACCCGCGGCGCAUUAGCUAGUUGGUGGGGUAAUGGCUCACCAAGGCGACGAUGCGUAGCCGACCUGAGAGGGUGAUCGGCCACACUGGGACUGAGACACGGCCCAGACUCCUACGGGAGGCAGCAGUAGGGAAUCUUCCGCAAUGGACGAAAGUCUGACGGAGCAACGCCGCGUGAGUGAUGAAGGUUUUCGGAUCGUAAAGCUCUGUUGUUAGGGAAGAACAAGUGCGAGAGUAACUGCUCGCACCUUGACGGUACCUAACCAGAAAGCCACGGCUAACUACGUGCCAGCAGCCGCGGUAAUACGUAGGUGGCAAGCGUUGUCCGGAAUUAUUGGGCGUAAAGGGCUCGCAGGCGGUUUCUUAAGUCUGAUGUGAAAGCCCCCGGCUCAACCGGGGAGGGU